rnacentral:rRNA from 1 species
AUAACCUUGCGAAAGUAAGACUAAUACCCGAUGAUAUCUCUAGAAGACAUCUGAAAGGGAAGUUAAAGAUUUAUCGGUGAUGGAUGGGAGUGCGUCUGAUUAGCUUGUUGGCGGGGUAACGGCCCACCAAGGCAACGAUCAGUAGGGGUUCGUGAGAGGAAGGUCCCCCACCAUUGGAACUGAGACACGGUCCAAACUCCUACGGGAGGCAGCAGUGAGGAAUAUUGGUCAAUGGGCGAGAGCCUGAACCAGCCAAGUAGCGUGCAGGAUGACGGCCCUAUGGGUUGUAAACUGCUUUUAUUAAGGGAAUAAAGUGAGAGUCGUGACUCUUUUUGUCAUGUACCUUAUGAAUAAGGACCGGCUAAUUCCGUG